CGAGGUGUGGCGCAGCCUGGUAGCGCGCUUCGUUCGGGACGAAGAGGCCGGAGGUUCAAAUCCUCUCACCUCGACCA
rnacentral:tRNA from 3 species